rnacentral:rRNA from 1 species
AGAGCGAACGCUGGCGGCGUGCUUAACACAUGCAAGUCGAGUGCGCGCCCGUAGCAAUACGGGUGGCGCACGGCGCACGGGUGCGUAACACGUGGGCAAUCUGCCCUCGGAUGGGGGAUACCCCCGCGAAAGCGGGACUAAUACCGCAUAAAAUUCCGGAGACCUUGGUUUCUGGAUUCAAAGGCCGCAAGGUCGUCUGAGGAGGAGCCCGCGCCCGAUUAGCUAGUUGGUGAGGUAACGGCUCACCAAGGCUUUGAUCGGUAGCCGGUCUGAGAGGAUGGCCGGCCACACUGGAACUGAGACACGGUCCAGACUCCUACGGGAGGCAGCAGUGGGGAAUAUUGCGCAAUGGGCGAAAGCCUGACGCAGCGACGCCGCGUGGGGGAUGAAGCUUCUCGGAGUGUAAACCCCUUUCGACCCGGACGAAUGACCCGCAAGGGUUUGACGGUACGGGUAUAAGAAGCCCCGGCUAACUACGCGCCAGCAGCCGC